rnacentral:rRNA from 1 species
AAAGCGUGCGCAGGCGGUUAUAUAAGACAGAUGUGAAAUCCCCGGGCUCAACCUGGGAACUGCAUUUGUGACUGUAUAGCUAGAGUACGGUAGAGGGGGAUGGAAUUCCGCGUGUAGCAGUGAAAUGCGUAGAUAUGCGGAGGAACACCGAUGGCGAAGGCAAUCCCCUGGACCUGUACUGACGCUCAUGCACGAAAGCGUGGGGAGCAAACAGGAUUAGAUACCCGUGU